GUGACGGACCGAGCCCCUCCGCGCCGGCGGGGCCGUCCCCGGCGGCCGGGAGCAGCGGGGCAGGACGGCGGGGCCGUGCCGAGCGCGGGACCGGCCGGCUCCCGGCGCUGAGCCCUCGCCUCCUCCGUGAGCGCCUAAAAUGUUCCUGGCAUGCGAGGCCAGGGGAGAUGCAGUGAGGAGCGGGGCACUUUUCCAACAGCUCCUCCGCCGAGAGAGCCAGUGGCACGGCGCGGCUCCGCAAGCCCGCCGCUCUCCUCGGCUCCCCCGAGCAGCCCGACGGCCAUGCAGCGAGGCAGGGUGCGGGCGGCGCUGGCGGCGCUGCUGUGCGCGGCGCUGCUCCCGCUCCGCCCGGAGGCCGUCAGGGCGCCCAAGCGGCCGGCGCGGCCCCGGACCUGCGGCGAGCGGCCAGAGGAGCUGCUGGAGCAGCUGUACGGGCGGCUGGCGGCGGGCAUGCUCAGCGCCUUCCACCACACCCUGCAGCCCGAGCCGCCGGGCCGCCAGCACAACGCCAGCUGCCCGGCCGGCGGCCGGCCGGCCGGCGACAAGAGGUUCCGGCUCCCCGUCAACCUGCGCAGCGCCUCGCCCUGGGCCUACAGAAUUUCGUAUGAUCCCACAAGAUACCCUAAAUACAUUCCUGAAGCAUACUGUCUGUGCAAAGGCUGCCUCAUGGGGAUCUUUGGCGAGGAGAAUUUUCACUUCCGCAGCACCCCUGUGUACAUGCCAACAGUCAUCCUCCGUCGCACAUCGUCGUGUGCUGGAGGCCGUUAUGUCUACACAGAAGAUUAUGUCACUAUCCCAGUGGGCUGCACUUGUGUACCUGAGCAAGAAAAAGAGACCGAAAGUGUAAAUUCCAGCAUAGAUAAGCAAGAAAUGAAGUUGCUGGUGAGCCAGAACAAGCCAUCAUCAGAAUGAAGAAUAUAUAGAGUCAUGUUACAGUAUUGGCUACACACCAUUAUUUCACCAUCUCAGGAAACUACACCACAGCAGCAAACACAUUGACUUACCCUCUUUUUCUACUUACAGUUAUUUCGCUUAUAAGGUGGAAAGUUUUGUCCAGUCACUCAGAUCAUUAGAGAUGACAAUUCAUAUUAAGAACUUCUUUAGUUCAUCUUACAGGAACUUGAUGGCAAGCCCUAACCAGAAACCCUAGAUACACGAAAACUUGCAUUUCCACAAGAGACUGAAGGUUGGCUCAGUCUAAUGAAUGAGAAUCAGGAAUAACCAGGGAUACCUUGCACAAACAAUUCUUCUGACGACCAGCUUCACCAAAGUAAGUUGAUAAAUCCCUGAACGUGCAGCGGAGAGUAUCUUUUACAGUUGACGGAUCAUGAUUGCAAUAUCAUUACAAAAAAGAAUGAAUACCAUAUGCAGCAAUGUAUGUGCUACAUCAAGAAUCUCAAGAUUGGGCUUCAUUCAUAGUGGAGAAAGUCCCUAUGCUACACAAACACACUCCUUUGGAGUGUCGUCAGAUGAAGAAUGAAAAGAAUAUGAGCUACCCAGAAUUAACAAGUUAAAUAGAAAAUGAAAGUCAUAUGACAACUCCUUGUCUUGGUACAUAAUGAUUGACUGUGAUCUUUAUGACUCAGUCUAGUAUAACAGUAUUUUUAUAGUGCAAUCUGUAUAGCUUCUUACAAAGCCUAAAACAACUUUAAGAACUCCAAAAGCCAAUAAACGAUUCCCAUCACAAUGUCAGAUUGAAAUUUAUAACCGCAUUUCUUGUGCAGAUGCUUUUCCACAGUUCUAGUUGUUUUCAGAUCUGUGUUUCCUCAAAUUGUGAUGCUUCUAUCUCAAGGGGGUUCUGAAAGAAAGGUUCAAAGAAGGUCAUAAGGUGUUUAUACUACUCAGAGAACAGCUAAUUGCCUAGCUGCUGCCAGCAAUUAAAGGUAGUUACCUGUUCCCCGGAGAACGUAAAUACUUGCGGCAAUUACAGCUGCUUUUCCUUCCUCCUAAUGGGGAAGAUUUCUCACCCUCUGAGAAGAGGGAAAUGUUAAUCAAAGACAGAGGGGCUCAAAAGGGAAGCAGACCCACGAAACUGGAGAAACACUCCAUAAGAUGAUGCUUCAGCAGUCUAAGAUCUUACGGUUUCCCUAUUCAAGUGUGGGGGUUUAUUUUCUCCAUACACAAACUUUGGACAGGGUGAAGUUGUACCUUCAGACUGCACAGCAUAUAAAGCAAAGUCUUCACAGUAAAAGACAGUAAAAACCCACAACAAAACCAAAAAAUUCCCGAACCACACAGCCCUUAACAUUUAGUAAAUACCCAGAAGGGCUACUAGCUACUAAAUAUUUACUACACUGCCCUGCAGCAAGACUCAUCUGUCUGCUCACACCCUUUUGUUAUAUGAAUUUGUCUGCAACAAUUUAGUUACUAGAGCAUGUGGAUUUAUUUGCAUGAUGUGGAGAAAAAAAUCUCACUUUUUGUUGCAACUCUUUUGUCCUGCAGGCAUAAAUUAUGGAGGCAGUUUGAGGUUUUCAAGUAACUAGAGCAUGUUCUGGGAAUUCCUGGGAGUCACAAGCUAAAAUCAGGUAAAUGGAACACAAUCGGUUUCCCCAGUCCAGAAAAACAGAUGCUUUAGCUUACAUAUAGCUUCAGGAAUUGGAUGACUGAAAGGAAAGUGUUAGCGAACUGCAAAACCUCAGUGGAUCAAUUGAUUAUGUAUGUUGGCGACCUCCUUCUCACCAUACUGCAACAAGUGCAGAAAGCUUCCUACGGUUACAGGCAACCUCAUAUUAUUUUACUUAGAAGUCCAUUUUCCUUUUUUAAUCCUCACCCUCCUCUUUGACAGACUUUUCAGCUGAGCCAAUUUGCUUCCCAAUCCAGCUUUCCAGUAAGGUGUUUCUAAAAAGCUAUGUUUAUGUUUUAGCACGAGCAACUGUUUGAUAGUAAUUUGUUACUGAACAACUGUUUGUUAAUACUUAACAUCAAGAACUAUUAGCUACACAAACAUUUGCUAACCUUAAAAAUACCCUUCCAUAUAUAAACUCUCUCUACAUUACUCAUGUGGAAAAGGUUGAGUAUUAAAUGUAGUUGGUGUUUGUUUGGAAUUCUAUUUUUUAAGGAGCUCAUCACAUCAUGGAUUUAUAUCAGUUUCACUUCAACUGUGGUGUGACAUUUUCCAGCCUCUAGCCCUCCGGUUACAGCUGCUGCAGCCUUGCCUUUAAUUUGCAUGGGAGGAGGGAGGGUUCAUUGGAGUUGCUUCAAGGCUCACAAACUGUUGACACAAGGCAGACAUGAAAUGCCUCAUUGAAACAACUCCAGGCCCAAUAAAUCCAAACAAUUCAAAGCUGAAACUAUCUGGCAGCUGCAGCUGAUUUGAGAAAAUUUUUGUUGUGCCAGGAAAAUCUUUUCCUUCAAUGAGGUUGUCCCUGGAAUACAUUAGGAGCCACAAAACACAGAACAAUAUCCUUGGUAAAGAGAUUAUUUUCUCUUUAAGUGUAGUAUCACUUAAGAUAGGUUGGAAAAUUCAUAUCAUUCUGGAAGGUUGAGAAAAGCCUGAGAUGCUUUGGUUUACUAGCCAGUCAUUACAUGUAGGUGUUUGAAUAGGUGGAGGUCUGCAGCUUAAAAUAAACGUGAAAUCGCAUGGGGCAACAUGAACUUGAAAGCAGCAAGGGGAAAAGGGAAAAAGGCUGUGAAACACCCAUUAAUCUCACUGGGAUUAGGGAACAGCCAUAACUACCUGGAUUAGAGCACAUGAGGGAGAUCUGGUCAGUCCUACACGUUUUGAUGAGUAGCGGCAUGAGCUACCACUCGGUUUUGCUAUAGUCCCAUCUCAGGGGGCUGCAGAACAUGAGCAGUCCCAGAGCGGCAGCGGAGCCCUGACACGGGCUGACAUUCUGCAGCCUGAACCCUGCCACCUUGUACCCCAUCUCACUGCACGGCCCUGGGGAGAAUGACAAAUCCAACCAUCAGAGAUAUUGCCCACUUGCUCUGGUACAGCGGGGCAUGGGCAGAUGGGUGAAGGCAAGUGUGUGGCACAGAUACGGGUUAACUGUGCAACACGGAGCUGACAGCAAUGCCAUUUGUAACAGGCAGUGCAGAUUAGAUGUUAAUGGAAGCAGUACCUUGGACUUCAGGCAACAGCGUGUCUAGAAAUGUCUCGUUUGUCAUCUGGAGUGAGGUGCAGGCAGCUGCCGUAUGUUCACUUCCACCUACAGCCAUCAGCCUGUGCACAAGACCCCAGGUUUCCUCGGCCAAGUGUCACAUUCAUACCGACAGCAGAGCACUGAGAUGCCCUGCUGCUGCACAGUGUCUGUUACUGCAGCCAAGAGGCUGUAGCACAUACGACUCUGCAGUCAUAAGUGCCACUGGAAAAAUAGCAUUGUAAUAACACUACAACACAGUCUAUUCUAGUGGCAAAUCCAUCUAUGAGACAUCCACAAUAAAGCAAGCCAAUCACUGCUUGACACUGAAGGUUUUUUUCAUAAGCCUAUUACAGAAAAGAAGAGAGAUUUUGCUACCAUAUAACAUUUCUUAAAAUUACUGCAAUGGCACAAAGCAGAAAUUCACUAUGAAUUUUUGUGAUUCGUAGCCUUCACACAGCUACUUCCUUGGAAACAAGUACGACAAAAAUAGUUCCCUGCCUAUCACUGCUGAAGGCUUUAAAUGCCACUAGGCAGGCUCUGCUUGGGCAGCUGCCUGCACUCACUGGGAUUUUAAGAGGGAAGCUGGUGGACAACGGGCUGCUCUGUUGACUACAUUUACACAGAUUUACAUGUACCCUCAUUUUCAUAAUCGUGCAUCUUCACAGUGGCUCUUUUUAAAGCGGCCUGACCUACAUGUGAGAAAUAGAGAUUAUUUUCUUGGUGAAAUGAAUUUCUUGGUACAACUGAAUGGUUUACUUUAAGAAAGGUCUCUGAUGAAGUUAGAAAAGUUGUCUUUUACUUCUGCUAUACAGAGCCCAACAACACACAUUUACCAAAAUGAAGCAGAUAACUGAAGGAAUUAAUAGGCAAGCAGCAACGUAGGUGACGCUUGUAUUUGAACUGCACGCUCUCAUUUAGGUGUGUGAGGGGGAAGAACAUCAUCCCUUCUGGCAAUCAUACCUGUCCCACCUGAAGCCUCUACAUAGUUAAAGUUUCAGGAGUUACUUCACUGUCUCCAUCUGCUUGGUGUGCAAGACAUUGAGGUAAUAACCAUAAAAUGGUUUACAAUUGCGAAGUACAGAUUUGUGCCAAUACCUGUGCAUGUAACAUUCUGGUUUGCUUUAAUUUGAAACUGGCCACAUAAAAGUAAUGGCAUAGUCUCCUGGAAAACAGCUAACCCCAGCUGUAUGUCACCUGUGGACAGUUCUUUUCAGGGGGGAGUCUGGCUUUACUGGGCUCAGCAGCAAGGAUGGCUUCUGGUUUGAAAGGCAAAACUGUACCAGCUGUGGGCUCUCAGAGACUGCCAGAAGCGCCCCGUCUCCAUUCUCCCUGCAAGCUCUUCCUCUGCUGCACUUCUCUUGUUUUAACAAUACCUAUUACCAGUCUGAUAGAAAGCAAGGUGCUUGAAAGACAAAGAAAACUGGUAUCGUGAAACUCAGGAACACUAUAUGCGGGGGGAGGGAUAGGGAAGCAGCAGAUACAAAAUGUGAGGAGGGAAAAGCUUUAGGAAGUGAACAGAUCUCUUGGAAAAUGGGUAAGAGCAACAGUGGCUUGGACAGGUAUUUACGAACCAGUGUUGUGUCCAGCUCAGGAAGCAUGAUUCUCUGAGCACUGAGAGAGGAUUAUAUUCCAUCUGUUUUAUUCCUGCUCAUUCGUUUACUCCAUCAAAUGGGAAAAUCUCCAUCCAGACAGCAGAAAUGCACAGAAACAUGAGUAUUAUCUCUACCUCACUAAAAUUUUGUCUCACAAGCUUAAUUAGGUUUAUCCCCACCACAAAAUAAAUUUCUUAAACUUAGGUGCUUCAUUUCUGUUAGCCUUUUAUACAAUCCCAAUAUAUAAAUACAGCAUAUAAGAACAAGUACUUAUGUUGUGUAUAGUAUAUUUAUAUCUGAGAAAACUGCUGAGUGCCUUGGAAUUUAGCAACCAGCUUUCAACCAAAAAUAUAUUAGUAGUGUAGUCAAAAGGUUAGUCAAACUGGCUUUAAAGAUUCCCAGUUACCAAAAAUCUCUGCUAUCCCAAAGCAAAGUUUUCUGAUGUGUCAUCUAUUUUGAUUGAAAUAUAGCCCAAACCUUGUAUAUAAAAUUUAACAUUUGUCUAUUAGAAACAGCAGGAGUUUAUCAAUACCUUAUGUUAUACCUCAGUGGCUUUGUAAGAUUCAACAAUUUCUAAGAUGAUACUUCUGCUCUGCUGCUGUCUGUGGGUCAGCAGGCAAAGAUAAAACCGGGAAAUUGGAAAAAAAGGACUAUUCUUGUAACUACAAACUUGACAUACCUGUAAAUCAUCUUUAACUUGAUAUUGAAAUCUACUAAAAAGCAGGCACUAUAUUUAAUCAAAUCCAUUAUGAUUCAAGACUUAAGGGACUAACAUGUAUGGGUCAUAUCACUACAGAAGUAUCUCAUAACCAACAGCAACUCCAAGUGAGAGCCCAUGAACACAGUCUGAAGCACUAACAGAAGGACUGGCUGAUGUGUUACAUUUUUACUUAGUAAUUACUUUGUAUUCCAGGUGAUUUGGCCUGACUAAUGCAUGAGAUUCUUCAUGAAACUAAAACUCUCUCUAAUGGGGAAGUCCUUAUUGUGCUUUUUUUCAAGGAGACAUCAGGUUUAUACCACCUCUGGAGAUCAGUUUAACUAGUAAAUAGAACAACCUAGUUGUGUGGUCUUUUAAAAGCUCAUGACUUUUUUGUGCUAACACAUAAACAUCACAAAAUAAAUACACCAUACUUCUGCAAAGAGACAUUUAACAACUUAGAUUACUUUUUCUCUAGUACUGCAUACAUGUGUACACAAGUUUAGAUGGUGGUAAGUGAUGACAAAAUAAAUCUUUCUCACAAGAAGAAAGUCUGGGCUUUACAGAAAAGGUGAAAUAAUAACCACAAGUUUUUAAAAAGCCAGUCUGGCAACAAUAGUGGAUAGAGGUCUUAUCCUACUUGGCAACUCUUAGGUUGUUCUGAUUAUUAUUAAAAGCAACUGGAGAGGCCUCCCCAGAAGGAGACCUAUUUUCUCUUCUAGUUAUCCUUUAUAAAAACAUCAGCCUGCUGGAUAAUGAGUCUGAAAGCACAUGACACAUUGAGAACAAACAUCUCUCGGUCCUUUUACUAAGGGAUCAUCUCCCAAGAUUGAAAGGAGACCAGUAUUCAUGCUCCUUCAACCAUCCACUAGCUACCAAGUCAUCAGUUCUGAUGCAAUGAUGAUCCCGAUGUCUGUGAGGCAAGCACCUAUGUGUUGUUACAAGCUAACCAGCUAAGACCACUUCAGAGAGGUCACUGAAGAGUCCUUGAACGGUAAAAACUACCAGUUAGAACGAAACUCUAACAGAGAAGUUCCCAUCAUCCAGCACCCGCAUUGUUUGGUCCCCAUUUACCUAAUAGGUAAGAUACAAAACAGUGACUGCAAAUGCUUACACAUUUAAAAGAAAGGCUAUCACACUGUGUUGAUUAAAGCUAGCUCAGAAAACAGUACUCGGAGCUGAAUAUUUCAGCAUUGAAAAAUGUGUAUUCAUUGAU